rnacentral:rRNA from 1 species
GAUGAACGCUGGCGGCGUGCCUAAUACAUGCAAGUCGAGCGAACAGACGAGGAGCUUGCUCCUCUGACGUUAGCGGCGGACGGGUGAGUAACACGUGGAUAACCUACCUAUAAUACUGGGAUAACUUCGGGAAACCGGAUCUAAUCCCGGAUAAUAUAUUGAACCGCAUGGUUCAUUAGUGAAAGACGGUUUUGCUGUCACUUAUAGAUGGAUCCGCGCCGCAUUAGCUAGUUGGUAAGGUAACGGCUUACCAAGGCAACGAUGCGUAGCCGACCUGAGAGGGUGACCGGCCACACUGGAACUGAGACACGGUCCAGACUCCUACGGGAGGCAGCAGUAGGGAAUCUUCCGCAAUGGGCGAAAGCCUGACGGAGCAACGCCGCGUGAGUGAUGAAGGUCUUCGGAUCGUAAAACUCUGUUAUUAGGGAAGAACAAAUGUGUAAGUAACUAUGCACGUCUUGACGGUACCUAAUCAGAAAGCCACGGCUAACUACGUG